rnacentral:rRNA from 1 species
AUGAACGCUGGCGGCGUGCCUAAUACAUGCAAGUCGAACGGUGAUAGCAAUAUCAUAGUGGCGACCGGGUGCGUAACACGUAGCUGACCUGCCCUUCGACGGGGGACAACAGCGCGAAAGUGCUGCUAAUACCAGCAUACAUUUGGAGUUUUUAGAAAGCUUCAAAGAAACUUCCGGGGUCGAAGGAGGGGGCUGCGGCCCAUCAGGUAGUUGGUGAGGUAACGGCUCACCAAGCCAACGACGGGUCGGGGACCUGAGAGGGUGGUCCCCCCACACUGGGACUGACAACGGCCCCAGACUCCUACGGGAGGCAGCAGUAAGGGAUAUUGCGCAAUGGGCGAAAGCCUGACGCAGCAACGCCGCGUGAAGGAUGAAGGCCUUCGGGUCGUAAACUUCUUUGGAGAGGGACGAGGAAGGACGGUACCUUUCGAACAAGUCACGGCUAACUACGUGCCAGCAGCCGCGGUAAAACGUAUGGUGGCAAGCGUUAUCCGGAUUUACUGGGCGUAAAGCGUGUGCAGGCUGCUGACAAGUGGUGUAUGAAAUCGCUCGGCUCAACCGGGCAAGGGUAUGCCAGACUGUUAGGCUAGAGACUGAGAGAGGGUGGUGGAAUUCCGGGUGUAGUGGUGAGAUGCGUAGAGAUCCGGAGGAACCCCAGAGGCGAAGGCGGCCUCCUGGCCCACGACUGACACUCAGACACGACAGCAUGGGGAGCGAACGGGAUUAGAAACCCCCGGUAGUCCAUGCCGGUAAACGAUGCCAACUAGGCGUUGGGGGACUCAACCCCCCCGGUGCCGCAGCCAACGCGAUAAGUUGGCCGCCUGGGGAGUACGGCCGCAAGGCUAAAACUCAAAGGAAUUGACGGGGGCCCGCCACAAGCAGCGGAGCGUGUGGUUUAAUUCGAGGCUACACGAAGAACCUUACCUAGGGUUGACAUGAGACUAGUAGGGAAGCGAAAGCGGACCGACCCGCAAGGGAGGUCUCACAGGUGCUGCAUGGCUGUCGUCAGCUCGUGCCGUGAGGUGUUAGGUUAAGUCCUGUAACGAGCGCAACCCCCGGGUCUAGUUACACGCUGUCUAGACCGACUGCCCGUUACAAGCGGGAGGAAGGUGGGGAUGACGUCAAGUCCAGCAUGGCCUUUAUCUCUAGGGCUACACACACGCUACAAUGGCCAGCACAAUCGGUUGCCAAGGGGUAACCCGGAGCCAAUCUACAAAAGCUGGUCACAGUUCGGAUUGGGGGCUGCAACCCGCCCCCAUGAAGUCGGAGUUGCUAGUAACCGCGCGUCAGCCAUAGUGCGGUGAAUACGUUCCCGGGCCUUGUACACACCGCCCGGUCACGUCAUGGGAGCUGGUCUGGCCUCAAGCCAGUGGGGCUAACCGCAAGGAGGCAACUGUCCAAGGCAGGGCCGGUGACUGGGACG